UGUUAUGAUUUUAGUUUGCC
rnacentral:siRNA from 1 species